AUUGAACGCUGGCGGUAUGCUUAACACAUGCAAGUCGAACGGCAGCAUGGUCUAGCUUGCUAGACUGAUGGCGAGUGGCGGACGGGUGAGUAACGCGUAGGAAUAUGCCUUGAAGAGUGGGACAACUUGGGGAAACUCAAGCUAAUACCGCAUGUACUCGAGAGAGUAAAGCUGGGGACCUUUAGGCCUGGCGCUUUAAGAUUAGCCUGCGUCCGAUUAGCUAGUUGGUAGGGUAAAGGCCUACCAAGGCGACGAUCGGUAGCUGGUCUGAGAGGAUGAUCAGCCACACUGGAACUGAGAGACGGUCCAGACUCCUACGGGAGGCAGGAGUGGGGAAUAUUGGACAAUGGGGGGAACCCUGAUCCAGCAAUGCCGCGUGUGGGAAGAAGGCCUGAGGGAUGUAAAGCACUUUCAGUGGGGAGGAGGUUUGGAAGGUUAAGAGCUAUUCAAAGGGACGUUACCCACAGAAGAAGCACCGGCUAACUCCGUGCCAGCCGCCGCCGUAA
rnacentral:rRNA from 1 species